rnacentral:ncRNA from 1 species
UUAAAGUUUGAUUUUAGCUUUGAUAUUCAUAUUAUAAUUUUUUUUAAUGGAAAUUUUUGUGUUAAUUAUGUUUAAAAAUUUUUUAAUAAAAAUUUUAAAAAUAUUAAAAAAUAUUUUUCAGUUUAUAAAAUUAUUGAUUAAGGGAACUUAGAUUUAUAAAUUAUUAUAAUAUUGGUUAAAAUUGUGCCAGCAGCAGCGGUUAUACAAUUGAUGUGAAUGAAUAAGGUUUAAAUGUAAAUUUAUUAUUAAAUUAAUUAUUAUAUGUAGUUGAGGGUUAAUUAAGUGAAAUUUUUAAUUUUUUUUAAUUAUAUUUAAUUUUUAUAAUUUUAUGAAAUUUUGUUAAUAAACUAGGAUUAGAUACCCUAUUAUUAGAAAUUUAAAUUAAAAAUUUAGGAGAAUAAUAGUUAUGUUCUUUAAAUUUAAAAGAAUUGGCGGUAUUUAAAACUAAUUAGGGGAACUUGUUUUUUAAAUGAUAAUCCGCAUGAUACCUUACUUUAAUUAAUUUAGUUUAUUUACUGCCGUUAUCAGAUUAUUUUUAAAAAAUUAAAAUUUUCUAAAUUAUUAAAUUGAAUAGUUAUUUCAGGUCAUGGUGUAGUUUAUGUUAAAGUAAAAAUGAGUUACAAUAAUAAUUAUUUAGAAUGGAUAUUUAAUUGAAAUAAUUACAUUGAAGGUGGACUUAAUAGUAAAUAAAAAAAUUACAUUUUUUUGAAUUUAGAAUUAAAUGUGUACAUAUUGCCCGUCGCUCUCGUUUUAAAAUGAGAUAAGUCGUAACACAGUAGAGGUACUGGAAAGUGUCUCUAGAAAUUU